UACGAAGGGGGCUAGCGUUGCUCGGAAUUACUGGGCGUAAAGCGCACGUAGGCGGCUUUCUAAGUCGGGGGUGAAAUCCUGGAGCUCAACUCCAGAACUGCCUUCGAUACUGGAAAGCUCGAGUCCGGGAGAGGUGAGUGGAACUGCGAGUGUAGAGGUGAAAUUCGUAGAUAUUCGCAAGAACACCAGUGGCGAAGGCGGCUACCUGGACCGGUUCUGACGCUGAGGCGCGAAAGCGUGGGUAGCAAACAGG
rnacentral:rRNA from 1 species